rnacentral:rRNA from 1 species
GAUGAACGCUAGCGGCAGGCUUAAUACAUGCAAGUCGAGGGGCAGCAUGGUGUAGCAAUACACUGAUGGCGACCGGCAAACGGGUGCGGAACACGUACGCAACUUACCCAAAACUGGGGAAUAGCCCGGGGAAACCCGGAUUAAUACCUCGUAAGAUAAUGAAGUGGCAUCACUUUGUUAUUAUAGCUCCGGCGGUUUUGGAUGGGCGUGCGCCUGAUUAGGUAGUUGGCGGGGUAACGGCCCACCAAGCCUACGAUCAGUAACUGGUGUGAGAGCACGACCAGUCACACGGGCACUGAGACACGGGCCCGACUCCUACGGGAGGCAGCAGUAAGGAAUAUUGGUCAAUGGGCGAGAGCCUGAACCAGCCAAGUAGCGUGAAGGAUGACUGCCCUACGGGUUGUAAACUUCUUUUGUUUGGGAAUAAAAGACGCUACGUGUAGCGUUCUGCAUGUACCGUUAUGAAUAAGCAUCGGCUAAUUCCGUG